rnacentral:rRNA from 1 species
GACGUAGGGCGCGAGCGUUGUCCGGAUUUAUUGGGCGUAAAGAGCUCGUAGGCGGCUUGGUCGCGUCCGACUGGUGAAAACCCGCGGCUCAACUGCGGGCCUGCAGCCGAGUACGGGCAGGCUAGAGUUCGGUAGGGGAGCGUGGAAUUCCUGGUGUAGCGGUGAAAUGACGCAGAUAUCAGGAGGGAACACCGGUGGCGAAGGCGGGUCUCUGGGCCGAAUACGUGACGCUGGAGGAGCGAAAGCGUGGGGAGCGAACAGG